UAUAUUCUUGAGGAGCCAAAAAACCAUCCCAGUUUUUUUAAUAAUUCUCUUUGAAUUCCUUUACAAAAAACAUAUGCCCUCAUUGUUCCAAAAUUCUUGUCCUAGUUCCGCAUUAGAUUAUAAUAACAAUUCAAAAUCCUAAGAAGUUGAAUAACCAUAUGCUUAGGAGAUAGGAAACCAUUCUAAUAAAUAAAAUAAGCAACGCCU
rnacentral:lncRNA from 1 species